rnacentral:rRNA from 1 species
ACGAACGCUGGCGGCGUGCUUAACCCAUGCCAGUCGAACGGAAAGGCCCUGCUUUUGUGGGGUUCUCGAGUGGCGAACGGGUGAGUAACACGUGAGUAACCUGCCCUUGACUUUGGGAUAACUUCAGGAAACUGGGGCUAAUACCGGAUAGGAGCUCCUGCUGCAUGGUGGGGGUUGGAAAGUUUCGGCGGUUGGGGAUGGACUCGCGGCUUAUCAGCUUGUUGGUGGGGUAGUGGCUUACCAAGGCUUUGACGGGUAGCCGGCCUGAGAGGGUGACCGGCCACAUUGGGACUGAGAUACGGCCCAGACUCCUACGGGAGACAGCAGUGGGGAAUAUUGCACAAUGGGCGGAAGCCUGAUGCAGCAACGCCGCGUGCGGGAUGACGGCCUUCGGGUUGUAAACCGCUUUCGCCUGUGACGAAGCGUGAGUGACGGUAAUGGGUAAAGAAGCACCGGCUAACUACGUG